ensembl:snoRNA
UCAGCACUUUCACAGGUCCUCCCCGAGGCAGUGGGGCUAGGAUUUGGUAGCUGGUGCUGAGAGAAAACCCUUGGUUGUAUCUUUGCCCUGGACUGUAGCAGUGGCAGUUAACACCCAAUGGUACAGAG